AGUAGCUGCGAAAGCUUUAGCAAAUCGUUUAUCAAGUGUUAUAGGAAACAUUCAAGAAGAUCAGUCCGGUUACAUCAAAAGAAGAUUCAUAGGAAACAGUAUAAGAUUAAUUGAUGAUGUCAUUCAUUUUAGUAAAAUGAAGGACAAAAAUACGGCAAUUCUCUUCUUAGACUACGAAAAGGCUUUUGACACAGUAGAAUGGGACUUUUGAUUCAAAACGCUUAUAAAAUUCAACUUUGGAUCCAACAAUGUAUACAAAUAUUCAAAGUACAAUAAUAAACAAUGGCCAUAUGUCUCAAUUUUUCACGUUAAAACGAGGCCUCAGGAAACGGUGUGCUCUCUCUACACUGUUAUUCCUAAUCAUUGCAGAAGAAUGAAUCAAGAAAUAAAUGGGGUUAUUAACAAACAAAACAGAUUUACGUGUAACGGAAUUUGAAGAUGAAAGAUGUCGAUAGGAAAUUUGCAAAAUAAAAAUCAGUGACUUAACUAUCCGCUAUUCAAAAAAGAAAAAGAAUGUAGAAAAAUGAGGCCUAUCUUACUAGGCAAUAGGCAGAUUUACCUAAAACAGAUUUACGUAUUUCAAUGUACGCAGAUGAUACAACUCUUUUUUUAUCUGAUUUUGCAUCAAUUACAAAUGCCAUCAAUAUUGUGACAAAUUUUGGAAGUAUUGCAGAACCAAAAUCUAACCUCCAAAAAUAAAAGGACUAAUUAUUGGUAACAUUGAUCUGGACCAAACCUUUUAGAAAUUAUAAAUUGGCAGCGAGGACCAAUUAAAACAUUAGGCAUUUAUUUUGGAAAUAAUAUGAAUGAAUGUUAUGAAUUGAUGUGGGAAGAAAAGGUGAUAAAUUGUGCGAAUUUAAUUAAUCAAUGGAAAAGAAGACAUCUGACAUUACCAGGAAGAGUAACGUUUGUAAAUAGUCAGGCAAUACCAAUAUUUACUUUUUUAGCAUCUGUUAUUCCAACCCUACAAAAGUAUGUUUUGAAAAUAGAUAACUUAGUGUUUCCGUUUAUCUGGAAUGGCAACACAGACAAAAUUUCAAGAAAAACAAAGGUUUGCAAUUUAAACAAAGGUGGUCUUAACUUGACUUCCAAUCUCAUAAUAUAGCACUUAAAUGUAACUGGAUAUUUAAAUUGUUAAACAAUAAGCUUGGGAAAUGGAAAAUCAUUUGCAAUUUAUUUUUAAACUCAUGUUGCCCAGACCUUUCAGUCCUCAAUAUGAAUUUUAAAAAAGCAAAGUGCUGUUCACAUAUUACAUUAAACCUUCCACAAUUUUAUAAAGAGUAUUCUGUUGGCAGGAACUGAACUCAACAAAGACUGUACAAAUCGAUUUACAGCCAACUAAUAUAAAAGCACAAAUAAUGUCUGUAACUCUUUGUGUUUUUGUUGAUUUAUUGCAGGAGGAAAGAAGAAACCUUUGAAGCAAGCCAAGAAAGAGCACAAGGAACUUGAUGAAGAUGACUUGGCCCUGAAGCAAAAGCAGAAGGAA